rnacentral:rRNA from 1 species
AAGUUCGAUUAUGGCUCAGAUUGAACGCUGGCGGGAUGCUUACACAUGCAAGUCGAACGGCAGCACGGACUUCGGUCUGGUGGCGAGUGGCGAACAGGUGAGUAAUGUAUCCGGAACGUGCUAGUAGCGAGGAUAACUACGCGAAAGCGUAGCUAAUACCACAUACGCCCUUCGGGGAAAAGCAGGGGACCUUCGGGCCUCGCACUAGAGCAGCCGAUAUCGGAUGCUGGCUAGUUAGUGGGGGUAACAGCUCACCAAGGCGACGAUCCAUGUAGCUGGUUUGAGAGGACGACCAGCCACACUGCAGGACUGAGACACGGCCCAAAGGAACUCCUACAGAGGAGGCAGCAGUGGGGAAUUUUGGACAAUGGGGAAACCCUGAUCCAGCCAUCCCACGCGUGUGCGAUGAAGGCCUUCGGGUUGUAAAGCACUUUUGGCAGGAAAGAAGCAGCCUGGGAUAAUACGUGCAACUGACAGCCUGCAGGAAUAAGCACCGGCCUUUAACACGUGCCCAGCAGCCCGCGGUAAUACGUAGGGUGCACUAGCCGUUAAUCGGAAUUACUGGGCGUAAAGCCGUACGCAGGCGGUUCGGAAAGAAAGAUGUGAAAUCCCAGGGGCUUAACUUUGGAACUGCAUUUUUAACUACCGAGCUAGAGUGUGUCAGAGGAGGUGGAAUUCCGCGUAACAACAGUGAAAUGCGUAGAUAUGCGGAGAACACCGAUGGCGAGGGAGCAGCCUCCUGGAGGAUAACACUGACGCUCAUGCGCACGAAAGCGUGGAGCAGACAGGUUGGAUACCCUGGUAGUCCGCCUCGCCGUGUCGCUGAAAGCUGUUGGGGCCUUCGGGCUGCAGUAGCGCAACUAACGCGUGAAGUUGACCGCCUGGGGAAGUACGGUCGCAGAUUAAACUCGAAGGAAUUGACAGGGACCUUGCUGGCCAGUGGAUGAUGUGGAUUAAUUCGAUGCAACGCGAAAAACCUUACCUACCUUGACAUGUCUGGAAUCCCGAAGAGAUUUGGGAGUGCUCGCAAGAGAACCGGAACACAGGUGCUGCAUGGCUGUCGUCAGCUCGUGUCGUGAGAUGUUGGGUUAAGUCCCGCAACGAGCGCAACCCUUGUCAUUGGACACGAAAAGGGCACUAAUGAGACUGCCGGUGACAAACCGGAGGAAGGUGGGGAUGACGUCAGAAUCACUUAGCCCUUAUGGGUGAAGCUACACGUCGUAAUGGUCAGGACAGAGGAGUGCGCCAACCCGCGAAGGAGCCAAUCAGAAACCCGAUCGUAGUCCGGAUCGCAGUCUGCAACUCGACUGCGUGAAGUCGGAAUCGCUAGUAAUCGCGGAUCAGCAUGUCGCGGUGAAUACACGUUCCCGGGUCUUGUACACACCGCCCGUCACACCAUGGGAUGGGUUUUACCAGAAGUAGUUAGCCUAACCGUAAGGAGGGCGAUGCCACGGUAGGAUUCAUGACUGAGGUGAAGUCAUGCCAAAGAUAGCUCUUCUGAUGCUCCCAG